UACGGGAGGCAGCAGUGGGGAAUAUUGCACAAUGGGCGCAAGCCUGAUGCAGCCAUGCCGCGUGUAUGAAGAAGGCCUUCGGGUUGUAAAGUACUUUCAGUCGUGAGGAAGGUGUUAAGGUUAAUAACCUUAGCAAUUGACGUUAGCGACAGAAGAAGCACCGGCUAACUCCGUGCCAGCAGCCGCGGUAAUACGGAGGGUGCGAGCGUUAAUCGGAAUUACUGGGCUAAAGGGCACGCAGGCGGUUAAUUAAGUUGGAUGUGAAAUCCCCGGGCUUAACCUGGGAAUGGCAUUCAAGACUGGUUAGCUAGAGUCUUGUAGAGGGGGUAGAAUUCCGAUGUGUAGCGGUGAAAUGCGUAGAGAUGUGGAGGAAUACCGGUGGCGAAGGCGGCCCCUGGACAAAGACUGACGCUCAUGUGCGAAAGCGUGGGGAGCGAAACAGGAUUAGAUACC
rnacentral:rRNA from 1 species